ACGGCUCAGUAACACGUGGAUAACCUGCCCUUGGGUCCGGCAUAACCCCGGGAAACUGGGGAUAAUUCCGGAUACCGCAUAUGUGCUGGAAUGCUUUAUGCGUAAAAUGGAUUCGUCUGCCCAAGGAUGGGUCUGCGGCCUAUCAGGUAGUAGUGGGUGUAAUGUACCUACUAGCCGACAACGGGUACGGGUUGUGAGAGCAAGAGCCCGGAGAUGGAUUCUGAGACAUGAAUCCAGGCCCUACGGGGCGCAGCAGGCGCGAAAACUUUACAAUGCGGGAAACCGUGAUAAGGGGACACCGAGUGUCAGCGUCAUACGCUGGCUGUCCAGGUGUGUAAAAUACACCUGUUAGCAAGGGCCGGGCAAGACCGGUGCCAGCCGCCGCGGUAACACCGGCGGCCCGAGUGGUGAUCGUGAUUAUUGGGUCUAAAGGGUCCGUAGCCGGUUUGGUCAGUCCUCCGGGAAAUCUGAUAGCUCAACUAUUAGGCUAUCGGGGGAUACUACCAGACUUGGAACCGGGAGAGGUAAGAGGUACUACAGGGGUAGGAGUGAAAUCUUGUAAUCCCUGUGGGACCACCUGUGGCGAAGGCGUCUUACCAGAACGGGUUCGACGGUGAGGGACGAAAGCUGGGGGCACGAACCGGAUUAGAUACCCGGGUAGUCCCAGCCGUAAACGAUGCUCGCUAGGUGUCAGGCAUGGCGCGACCGUGUCUGGUGCCGCANGGAAGCCGUGAAGCGAGCCA
rnacentral:rRNA from 1 species